CUCAAGCUCAAAUACGCCUCUUUAAUGUAGUGCUGGUCCUCUAUCCUGUUGUAUAGCAAUUUUUUUCAUGUUGUCUUUCACGGAAUUCACUAAAAAAGUAAGUUAAUUGGUGUCCCUGGUGUGAGGGCUUUUGAAUGUUUAUUUUGUUCUGAAAAGAAGACAGGGAAACAUUUUGGGUAGGAUUCUUUUGUCCUGGCAUGGGAAGAUGUCGGGUUU